rnacentral:rRNA from 1 species
AGUGGGGGAUAACGUAGCGAAAGUUACGCUAAUACCGCAUAUGCCCUGAGGGGGAAAGGAGGGGAUCGCAAGACCUUUCGCUUUCGGAGUGGCCGAUAUCAGAUUAGCUAGUUGGUGGGGUAAAGGCCCACCAAGGCGACGAUCUGUAGCGGGUCUGAGAGGAUGAUCCGCCACACUGGGACUGAGACACGGCCCAGACUCCUACGGGAGGCAGCAGUGGGGAAUUUUGGACAAUGGGGGCAACCCUGAUCCAGCCAUGCCGCGUGAGUGAAGAAGGCCUUCGGGUUGUAAAGCUCUUUCAGCCGGAAAGAAAUCGCACCGAUUAAUACUCGGUGUGGAUGACGGUACCGGAAGAAGAAGCACCGGCUAACUACGUGCCAGCAGCCGCGGUAAUACGUAGGGUGCGAGCGUUAAUCGGAAUUACUGGGCGUAAAGCGUGCGCAGGCGGUUUUGUAAGACAGGCGUGAAAUCCCCGGGCUUAACCUGGGAACUGCGUUUGUGACUGCAAGGCUAGAGUGCGGCAGAGGGGGGUAGAAUUCCA